UACGUAGGGGGCGAGCGUUGUCCGGAGUUACUGGGCGUAAAGGGCAUGCAGGCGGUCGGACGCGUUUCGGGUGACAGCGGGUGGCUUAACUACCCGAGUGGUCGAAAGACGGUUUGACUUGAGGACGCGAGAGGGACACGGAAUUCCGGGUGGAGUGGUGAAAUGCGUAGAGAUCCGGAGGAACACCGAAGGCGAAGGCAGUGCCUGGCGCGUAACUGACGCUGAGGUGCGAAAGCGUGGGUAGCAAACGGG
rnacentral:rRNA from 1 species